rnacentral:sRNA from 1 species
ACUAGAAUAUUUGAUAUUUUUAGCUCUCAAGUCUUGUUGAUGUUUCAUAAAAGAAUACAUUAUUAACUGAAAAUGUAUAAUUUAAUCUGCUUGUUUUCUUUUAUAUUGUCUUUUAUGGUAUAUACCAUAUGUUUCAAGUAUAUACAUGUAUCUAAUCAGGUGCAUCAAUAUAAUUGUCAGAAUUGAAAAAAAAAAUGCAUUGACUGUAUUAUAUAAAUGUAAAACCAUCUAUUUAUUUUAUUUUUCAAUGGCAAAAAAGGGGGAGGGGUCAUUUAGAUGUUUAUGUAUGUAUCAAUUCUGGUGCACAUCAAAAAAGGAUAGAAAUGCAAUAAAUAUGUGCACACUUGUAUAAACUUGUCAGAAUUGCAAGUCUGUAAAGAUUUUCUGUAAUUCUUUUUUUUUCAUAAUGUGGUAUAUACAUAUGUGUAUUAUAUAUAAAGAUAAAACUGGUGGUGUAUGACUGGGGAAGCGAGGGCUGGUAACCAGCCAAGUGUGCCUUAAUAAAUUCAACUUACAAAUGAU